AGAACGAUAUCGUCACCUAAAAUAACUGUUGUGAUAUAAGUAGGUGAGAAAGAUUGUUGAUGUUAGUUAGACAAGUAGGGGCAGGUUAGUCAUUUAAAGAAGAAGUUAGUUGUAACUAAUUGUGUCAGUUUGUUAGUUAAGAAACUGAGUUAGUAUUCUGUUAAAAGUGUGAAGGAGCAACACUAUAAAUAACUCUUCAUUCUGUAACUACAUUUACUCAAUACAAUUACAGUUUUCAUAUAUUCCAAAUCUUCUCUCUUCUAUGAUUGAGUUUCUACAGUUUACGUUCAUGGUAUCAAAGCCAUAAGCUUCAUCACAAGCAUUGACUGAAGCUGGAAUUGGUCAAGGAAUCAAAGAAUCAGUCCUCUGGUUCAUCGAUUCAUUUGGUUUUUGAAGAAUAUUGCAGGUCGUAGCUUGGAGAAAGCUGGAAUCUGUAUUCUUCAGUUUGUUUUGUUGAUUUGCUUCCGCAAUUAGAAGCUCAAUUUGGUGAUAUCUUCAAUGGAGAAUGAAGGCUUACAUGCAGAUCUAACUCAGAAUGGAUCAGCAACAGUUGUUCCUCAGAAUAGCAGUUCAUUACAGGGGCAAGGUAUUGACUAUAAUCAUCCUCUUUUCCUUAGUCCUGCUGAUGUCAGUGGCUUGAGUCUGAUUUCCUUUCAACUAACUGGUAUUGAAAACUACAUGUUGUGGAGUAGAUCUAUAAGGCUAGCCUUAUUAGGGAGGAAUAAGAUUGGUUUAAUUGAUGGCACUGUUAAGAAAGAAAUGUAUAGUGUUGAAUUGUGGGGACAUUGGGAAAGAGUUAAUGCAAUUGUUUUGUCUUGGUUAAUGAACUCUGUGUGUAAGAGUUUACUGAGUGGAAUUGCUUUUGCUUCGACUGCCGUAAGUGUUUGGACUGAUCUAAAAGAGAGGUUUGAUAGAAUAGAUGGAUCUAGGACUUAUAGUCUACACAAAGAGAUUGCUUCGCUGCAACAGGGGACUGCUUCUGUUUCUGAGUAUUAUACCAGACUCAAAGGUUUAUGGGAUGAGUUUGAGGUAUUGGUGCCUGCACCUUGUUGUAAUUGUGAGAUCUCCAAAGGUUUUAUAGCUCACAUGAAUAGACAAAAGGUAUAUCAGUUUUUGAUGGGAUUAAAUGACUCCUAUCAUCAGGCUAGGAGUCAGAUCCUUAUGAUGGAUCCAUUACCCUCAAUUAAUCAUGUGUAUGCUAUGGUAAUUGGGGAUGAAAGCCAAAAAGCUGUGAUUGCGUGUACCACUAGCAUGAGCAUGACUACCAUUGGCUUGGACUCUUCUGUUGCUAUGUUCUCCAAGACUGGUAGUAGUUCAGGUGUGAGUCAAAGGUUCAAGAAAGGUUCCCUGCUGGUAUGUGAUUUUUGCAAAUGCAAAGGGCACAGCAAAGACUUUUGCUAUAAACUUGUUGGUUAUCCUCCUGAUUUCAAAUCAAAGAGGAAGCCUCAGCCUCAAGGAGGUGCUGUCACACAGGCCAACAGUUACUCUACACAAUAUUCAUCAGCUCCUCAGGCUAACUUUACCUAUGGUUUUAAUACCAACAUUCCUCCUCCAGGAUGGGGAAUAUCUAAUCAGCAGCAUAACAGUAUUAAUAAUGAAGGUACAUCUGCAGCUCCUCCUACCAGUCUCAAAGUUAGCCAAGCUGAGAAAGAAGUUCAACAUCUUCUCCAAGGAUGCACUUUCACUAAAGAUCAGUAUGAUCAUAUUCUGAAGAUGAUGCAGCAGAAGUCAGAUGUUACUUCUUCUCCCUCUAUGUGUAAUACUGCUAAUACAGGUAAACAUUCUUUUGUGUCUAAAGCCAAUCAGAUGUGGAUUAUUGAUACAGGUGCAACUAAUCAUAUGGUCUCCAGUUUAGACAUGAUGAUUAAGGGGUCAGUGUCGCAGCUUGCAGAGUCUAAACCUAUCUAUCUUCCAAAUGGUAGCACUACUCAAGUUUCUCAUGUUGGAUGUUGUGCUUUAUCAGCAAGAAGUGUGAUCACUAAUGCACUGCACCUUCCUGAUUUCAACUACAAUUUGUUGUCAGUCAGUCAAAUCACAAAGGAGUUAGGAUGCUCAGUUACCUUCUUCCCUAAUUUCUGUGUUUUCCAGGAUCUUUGCAGUGGGAAGGUGAAGGAAGUUGGUAAGCAAGAAGGAGGUCUAUAUCUACUGAUACAACACUUAACAAAUAAAGAUGCACAUAGUGAAGAGGAGGUUGCAUUUGCUGUCAACAAUACAAAGGUCAUAGACAUGGAAUUGUGGCACAAAAGGUUGGGGCAUGUGUCUUCAGCAGUCCUUGCAAGGAUGUUUGCUAUGAAUAAAGAAAGUUUAUGUACAGUGACUAAAUGUUCAGUGUGUCCUCUUGCUAAGCAAACAAGAUUAUCUUUUCCUAUUAGCAGUAUUAAGACUUCAGCUUGUUUUGAUAUGAUACAUGUGGAUUUGUGGGGUCCUUAUAAUACUCCCACUAUUGAUGGUAACAAGUAUUUUCUCACCAUUGUUGAUGACUUCUCUAGGAUGACUUGGUUAUUUUUGCUUAAACAUAAGUCUGCUGUGUGUGUUUCUCUUAAGGAGUUUCUCUUGUUUGUUAAAACUCAGUUUGGUAGAUCAGUCAAAGUCCUAAGGUCUGAUAAUGGUACUGAGUUUAUGAACUCAGUAUGUGAUGCUAUGUUCAAAGAAAUGGGCAUUAUUCAUCAGCGAUCAUGUCCUUAUACUCCACAGCAAAAUGGUGUUGCUGAAAGAAAACAUAGGCAUUUGCUUAAGGUGACACGAGCUAUCAGAUUUCAGGCCAGCAUACCAUUGAGGUAUUGGGGACAAUGUGUGUUAGUUGCUGCUUAUCUUAUUAACAGAAUUCCUAGUGGUGUGUUGAAUUAUGCUACACCUUAUGAAAGGCUGUAUGGUUGUAAACCUGUGCUAACUCAUCUCAAAACUCUAGGAUGUUUGUGCUAUGCUAAACUAUUGACUGAGCAUGAUAAACUCAAGCCAAGGUCCAGACCUGCUAUUCACAUGGGUUAUUCAGAGGUUCAGAAAGGUUACAUCCUACUUGAUCUGGGUAAUAAGUCAUUUUUUACUAGUCGAGAUGUAAUAUUCAGAGAAGAUUCCUUUCCGUUUGUCAAAGGGAUAGACCUUGUUUCAGAAAACAUGUUCUUAGAUAUAUUGCAUAUCUCAGAUGUCCUACCUCCUCACUUGAAUUCUAUUUCAUUUCCUCUUUCUCCUCCAGUUCCUACUUCUUCUGUAGUUGGUUCAGAUGAUCAUGAUCUACCUGUUGUGAAUCAGCAGGAUGAUCCUGCAUGGUCCCAAGUGUCUGUCUCAGAUCCUGCUUCUUUGAAUUCUGAGUCUACUUCUGAUUGUAGAAGGUCCACUAGACAGAAACAUACUCCUACUUGGAUGAAAGAUUUUGUCUCACUUUUAAUGAAUAUGAAAGUUCCAUAUCCUUUGUGCAACUCCAUGAGCUAUGCUCAUCUUUCUCCUAUCUAUCAAUCCUACCUUGCUGCCACCUCUGUAGAUAAGGAGCCUGACUCUUACUGUGAGGCUGUCAAAGACAUAAGGUGGGUAGAUUCUAUGAAGGCUGAAAUUCAGGUUCUAGAGAGUAAUGAUACCUGGGAGGUCACUGAUUUGCCACAGGGCAAAAGACCCAUAGGUUGCAGGUGGAUUUACAAAGUGAAGUAUAAGUCCACAGGUGAAAUUGAGAGAUUCAAAGCACGAUUGGUUGCUAAGGGGUAUAGUCAACAAGAGGGCAUAGAUUACACAGAGACCUUUUCACCUGUAGUAAAGAUGGUUACAGUCAGAACCAUAGUCUCUCUUGCAGCAGCUAGGCAUUGGCACAUUCAUCAAAUGGAUGUCUUUAAUGCUUUUCUACAGGGGGAUCUGGAUGAUGAGAUAUAUAUGCACCUACCUCAGGGUUUUGUCAGUCAAGGGGAGAAGGUGUGUAGACUGAAAAAAUCCCUAUAUGGUCUCAAACAGGCUCCAAGGCAAUGGAAUCAUAAAUUGACUGAAGCUCUUAUUAGACUCAGGUUUAAGCAGAGUCAACAUGACUAUUCUUUGUUCAUCAAUAAUACAGAAGAAGGGACCAUUAUAGUUCUUGUAUAUGUGGAUGACUUGCUAAUUACUGGUAGCAGUCUCGAGUUGAUAGAAGAAACAAAAACUGCACUACAACAAGCUUUUAAGAUGAAGGAUCUAGGUGAAUUAAAGUACUUCCUAGGUAUUGAAUUCACUAGAUCUUCAGCUGGUAUAUUAAUGCACCAGAGGAAGUAUGCUCUUGAACUUAUAGCUGAAGUUGGUAUGACAGCAGCCAAACCUGCAGGAACCCCUAUUGACAUAAAUGUUAAACUAACAUCAAAGUUAUAUGAUGAACAUGUGAAUCAAGAUCAGGAAGAAUCAGAGGAUCCACUGAUAGAUCAAAGAAUGUAUCAAAAACUGAUAGGAAAGUUGUUAUAUCUAAAUAUGACAAGGCCUGAUAUAACUUUCAGCACACAAACUCUCAGUCAAUUUCUACAACAACCUAAGAAGUCUCAUCUUGAUGCAGCGUUAAGGGUAGUUAAAUACUUAAAGAAGCAGCCUAGACAAGGUUUGUUGUUUGCAAGUAACUCAGAUGGACUAGUUACUGCUUUUUGUGAUGCUGAUUGGGCUUCUUGCCUGCUAACCAGGAGGUCUGUAACAGGAUACAUGGUAAAAGUUGGGCAGUCAUUAGUAUCAUGGAAGGCAAAGAAACAAACAACAGUUUCAAAAAGUUCAGCUGAAGCUGAAUAUAGAAGUCUUGCUUCUACUGUGUCAGAGUUAGUGUGGUUGCUUGGAUUACUUAAAGAAGUAGGAGCUGAAGUUCAAUUACCAGUUCAAGUUCAUAGUGACAGUAAGGCAGCUAUACAGAUUGCAGCAAAUCCAGUAUAUCAUGAGAGGACAAAGCAUAUUGAGAUUGAUUGUCACUUUAUAAGGGAAAGACUACAACAAGGACUUAUUAAGGUGAAUUAUCUUCCUACAAGAGAACAGCCAGCUGAUGUAUUGACAAAAGGCUUAUCUAGGCAACAACAUGAACAUCUACUAUCCAAGCUAGGAGUGCUAGACAUUUUUGCACCACCUAGCUUGAAGGGGAGUGUUGUGAUAUAAGUAGGUGAGAAAGAUUGUUGAUGUUAGUUAGACAAGUAGGGGCAGGUUAGUCAUUUAAAGAAGAAGUUAGUUGUAACUAAUUGUGUCAGUUUGUUAGUUAAGAAACUGAGUUAGUAUUCUGUUAAAAGUGUGAAGGAGCAACACUAUAAAUAACUCUUCAUUCUGUAACUACAUUUACUCAAUACAAUUACAGUUUUCAUAUAUUCCAAAUCUUCUCUCUUCUAUGAUUGAGUUUCUACAGUUUACGUUCAAUAACAACCUAUUAAGAGCAAAACUUCGUCAAAUCCACACUGAACCUCUUUUCAUCACUACACGUACCUACUAUGUAAUUUUAAGUUGAAGUAAGUAUAACCGGUAAAACCAGGAACUAUAUAUCUUACCUAUAGAGAACAAACUUGUCACUAUAUUGUUACAAAAUGUAAAAACCUCCAAGCAAACUAUUACUGAAUACAAUGAAGAAUUCAAGUUGGAAAUAGGUAGUUUCUUUAUCCCACACCUCAAUAUUAUUAUGGAAUACAUAUUUGGGGUCAGAAGAGGAUCCUUUUUUUUUCCUUCUAAUUUUUGUUGGUGAUCACUUUUUAUACUUUAUAUGAAAUUUUUGGGGGUUCUAAUAUUGCAGCUCCUACGUUUUGUCAAGGUCUCACAAUUGCUUCAGUAACUCAAUAAAUUAAAGCUCUUGCAGAAAGGAAGUAACUCGGAAGAACAGAAAUCAUCCAACACAAUCGAAUUAAAGGCAAAUCAGAAGAGAUUUUGCAGCACCAUAAUUUACAGAAGAAAAAUCAGACAAUGAGCGAAAAAUGCAUAAUUCUACCUUUUUGUUUGUUUGCAAAAGAGAACCUUGAAGAGUAUUUAUUUGAGUGAACACAUAAUGAAUGUGGUGUUUUCC
rnacentral:lncRNA from 1 species